GGAGAGGUUACAAUCCAAACUAAGUGUGACAUUUGUUUUUCUAGGUAUAAUAAAUGGAAUAUGGAUGUAGACAAAUACAUGAAAUGGAAGAUGGAUAGUUCUAAAAUCUUUUUUCUUAAAAAAUCUGGAGUGACAUACCUAUGUAAUCAUUUCACAGAAACCAUCUUAAUUUUUUUUAAGACCAAGUUGUAUUUAUGAAUGGUUUUAUUGAUUAAUUUAUUUAAUCUCAUGUAGUUGCUAAUAUUUGUAGACAAGCUUUCAUUGCCUUAAAAAGUUAAUUGUGGAAGCUCUAGAUUACACUGUAAACAUGUGUUCCAUUUUGAAAGUACAUGUACUUGAAGGUAAUAAACCUAUUGGUUGAGAAAGAAGAUAUAAAGAAUCUUGUCUACAGAAUUAGAUUUGUUUCAUGUUAUUCACCGUCCCCUGUUAUGAAUCUUUCUGAUGCAAUCCUGUUAAAUUUGUUUUUAUUGCUUGUAAUGGUACUACUACAAUGAUCAGUAUAACUUUAUCUUUCCCAUGUGAAAUCUUGAAUGAGAUGUCAACCAUCAUACAUAAAUAUUUUUACAUGUGCUCUUUAAAUUUCAAUGCUCAUUUCUGAAAAAGAAGUAUGUCAUCCAUAUAUAUGUGUUCAAAAUUCAGGGCGCCUAUUAUACUAUUUUUUUGUUAUUAAGUACUGAUAAAUUUAGCAACAUGUUCACUAUCGUCUGUCCCAGGUUACUGUUUUUAUCUCAUUUUGACGAAUUUUACAGAGAAUACACAUAUCUGUUAGAGAAAUACAAUUGAAAUCAAUAUAAGGGGGGAAAUCCAAGAUUUCUUCAUUAAUAGACACUUCAUUUAUUUUUACCUGGAGAAAUUAACAAGAAGGCAAGCAAAUUUCUUACAGAGAUUUAUAAUGUUAAAAUGUUUAUAUCUUUUCUCCAAUUGGAAAUUAAUGCUCAAGACACCUUGUACAAUUUUUCAACGUUAUCAUGUCGAGGGUACUUUAAUGUCUGUUGCAAUGCAAAAUCCUUGUAGACUUUCUAUUUUUGGUUUUGUACCGAAACCUGAAGCAGAGGGGGCGUUUCAAAACAGAAAACCUGGACUUUUUUCAUUCUAGUAGAUGGACAUAGUUUUGGCACAAAGGUAGUUUAUGAUUAUUAAAAUAUUAAGCAAAAGGUGUUAGAAACAGAAACUUCGGACAGAGUGUGAUAUAUAUCUGCAUUCAACUUUUUUCCACAAUAUUUGUAAAUAAAACAUUAUUUCUUCACACAAUACAUAUUUAAUGGGGAAAGGCACAAGUGUAUGGUUAAGAUAUGUACUGCUCUCUGUUAGGUUCCUUGCUGUUCAUCAAAGCAGUGAAUGCAGGCAGCUAUGCUAUCUCUGUUGAUUUUUCAAUUGUCAAAGUUAUAUUGUAUCGGUCUUAAAAUGAACUGAUGUGUUGUAUGCUUUUGUCCAUAAUCUGUGAACUUUUUUCUUUGGUAUUUUUGCAUUAUGUUUAAAAAAAAAAAAAGGACUUGUCAAUUGUUUUUUGGGUAUACUUGUUUUCAUUGUUAAAAUGUACACACACCCAACCAUACUUAGCUUCAAUAAAGUAGCCCUCCAUGACUUAUCUGACGUUCUCUGGAGGGGGCUAUGUUAUUGCAGGUAAUCCACACCCACAGUCAUACACUUUGAUAUUUCGAUUGGGAUGGAUAUUUUUUUUAUUUCUGAAAAAGGAUACAUUAAUUACAGUAUGCUUCAAUCUGAGAUUUUAUUUUAAGAUACAAUGUAAUUGUAUUACCAUAAAUGGUAUUGUAACAAUCUACAGAGAGCUGACUUAAUUAAAAAAAAUUGUUUUUUGAAAUUUUUCAUCUGAAAAUGAACAUAAGUAUAGGCUUUAGAGACACAGGUUUAUUUGACAGCUGUCCAAGUUUUUUAAGGAGUAAGUUCUUGCGUAACCCAUAUGUAAGCCUAUUGUAUUUUGUUUAUUUAUUUCUUUUUGUUGGUUUUUGCUAUGUAUUUUGUGCUAUGAGUCUAAUUUCUUCCUUUCAUCACCUCCUCUAAAUGCCGCUUUGUUGUUGGAGUUGGGAGUAGAUUGUAGCAGUUUGCGGACUUUUUGUUGUUGAGAUUCUUUGCCAGCACUGUUCCUUUGUUGUUGUGUAGAAUGUAGGUUACACUCUGAUGUAACUUAGCAUCAUUGAUGUUAUGUCGUGUCAUUCUGUUAUCAAUAAAUUUUUAAAGUGAAAAG
rnacentral:sRNA from 1 species